rnacentral:sRNA from 1 species
GAGAAACAGAAGAGGAGUCUGACAGAUGGGGAGGAUCACAUGCCAAUGUCUGGGAAUGGUUUGGCCACCACAGUGGAAAAACUAUAAGCUCCUAAGCUGUUAAGGAACGCCUCAAAGAGCAAUGGAUAAGCCAGGUACCUUUGGUUCUUGACUCCACCCAAAUAAAAGGGCAUUAAUCAGCAGGUAAUUAAGCAC